CCCGCUCCUGGUUUGCAUGUUCCGGCAAUGACGAUGCCGAAAGUGCAUGCCAUGCAGGCAAGCUUGGUUCAGGUUCCGGUGGAGCCGGU
rnacentral:tRNA from 1 species